rnacentral:rRNA from 1 species
UACGUAGGGUGCGAGCGUUGUCCGGAUUUAUUGGGCGUAAAGAGCUCGUAGGCGGUUUGUCGCGUCGUUCGUGAAAUCUCCACGCUUAACGUGGAGCGUGCGGUCGAUACGGGCAGACUUGAGUUCGGUAGGGGAGACUGGAAUUCCUGGUGUAGCGGUGAAAUACGUAGAUAUCUGGAGGAACACCGGUGGCGAAGGCGGCUACCUGGCCCAACAUUGACGCUGAGACCCGAAAGCAUGGGGAUCAAACAGG